UCAUAUUUUUAGAACCAUAUUCUCAUUGUGCGUUUUAUAUCAGUCUUUUUUUCUUGAAUCCAUUUGAAGUCAUUUUCAUACCAAAAUGCAUAUUAGCAUCUGAAAAGACCGCUGAGUGAGAAUCGAUGGCGCAGAGGCCCGCCUGACAGGACAAUAACCCACAAAGACGCGGCCUUGCACCGGUUGUGUAACGUGGGACACAGAGAUGCCCCUGCUGAGAAGGAACCAGCCCCAGAAUUUUGCCGCUUGGGCCAAACACUGUUCAGCCGCACAUCCUUGAGUUCCAGCCCACUCUCCCAUGAG